rnacentral:lncRNA from 1 species
CAAGAGAUAGAGUUAAGGUGACGUUCUGCAUAUAGCUUUAAUGAGUUGCUGAGUACAACUAACAGAAGUCGAUGUAUCUGUGCGUUGGAUCAGUAGUUGUUAAUGUGUUUCUGGUAUUGCUGCUGCUUGAAAUAAACCCUAGAAGGAAUGCCUUGCUCAGAAGAGCUGGCUGGUCUGUUAGGUGGGCUGUAGUGGUCGUUACAGUGAGUUGAAAUGAAACAAUUGUGACACGUUAAGUUCCACUUUAAAUGCCUCUUCUGAGGCAGAGGUUAGAGGUAGACUUUAAAUACAAAAACAGCUGUAUGGAUGAAGGAGGGCUGAUACCUUGAAGGAAACAUUCUUUUUGAUACAGGGAGAUGAAGAUUUUUUUUACUGGUUUAAUUCUUAAAAAUGCUUUUUAAAUACCUAACUUGGCUUAGGUGAGCUGUGCUCAGCCACUGCUGAGUUACAGCAUGUAAAUAGCAAUUGAUACUGCAAAGGGCCACUGUUUGGCUUUAUCUGCCUGUAGGCUGUAACACUGCUAUAAAAUGAAUGAUUUUACUAAAUCCAAGUAGUAAAGACCUUCAGCCUCAUUUUAAAAUGAGGGAUGGGGGUGAAGGCUACAGCUUACACAGUAAGGGGGAAGUCAAUGUAAAAGAAAAAAAUCUCCUUUCUAAAAAGCUAGUCGAGCAUAUGCUGGGACAGUGCUCUUCCCUUUUCUGCACCAUAGGUCAGAGAAGGGAAAGUGAGAUGUUCCUUCAUCUCUUAAUGCUGGGCUGGGAAGGCAGCAUAACAAAUGAAUGUACUUCAAAAAUGCAGAGAAUACUGCUUGUUUUUGGGGGGUGGCUGGGAGGUUCUUUCCUUAUGUGGAGGAUAUGGAGAAUUCCAGUUGCUGGAUCACAGGCAAGCUUAGAAUUAUGAAAUAAAAUGGAGACAAGUUUGAUAGGGUUCUAUGCAUAUGGGAUCCUGAAGUGGUUUAGGGAAGAAGUAAUUGGGCAAUAUAUAGGCAAAUAUGUAGGGGGAACAAAGAAGCUAAAAUCACCUUGUGUUGAAUGGGAAGUACCAUGUAUAACCUCACAGGUACAAAUACAUCUUGGGAGCAAAUGGAAUAUCAAAGGAUUGGUUUUUGCACUCCCAUAGAAAUCACAAGUUCUUUUGAAUUGCCUUUUUGCUAACCUAGACCCCAGUGCUGCGUUCUUCCAGGCAUGCCUGCCUAACUCCUGCCACACUGCUGCUAUUGGCAGUCAGCCUGCGCUGUUGCAUUUGACUAAUUAAACCAGAGGUGCUUGGCCUGGAGAUUCUCCAGCAUUAACUUGUGCAGCUGAAAUUCCUUCCAGAAAUAUUAAAGGAUUAUCUAAUUGGGCCUAUCACAGUGCCCUGUUUUUGCCUUAUCACUUGGUUCCUGCACAAGCCAAGCCAUCCCAUGCUGUCUCCCUUUGUCUGCAAGGAGGCAAAAGCAGCAGCCCAAACACCCUUACAGGGAUUAAGAGUUCCAGCACAGUAGGAACUGUCAACAAAUAGGAAGAAAUUUAGAAGAAAAACGUACCUCUCUGAGCAGCUGGAGCCAGCUACCAGCUUCCUUUACAACCAUGGGCAUGAGUUGUGGCACCUGUUUAUUUUCAAGUCAUCCUUACUUUCGGUUCACCCGUGAACUAACAAAUGGCUCAGCCAUCCUCUUUGCUUGCAGUUCUUUAACAUCUUCAUGUAACUACUUUUCUAGCUUCCCUUACCGUAGGGCAUUCUAUCACAAACCUUUAUCAGGUGAUAUUGCUCCUCAACGUUACGAUCUGAGCAUGACCAAGUUAGCUCCUUAAGAACUGCACAGCUAUUUCAAUAUUAGCAUAGAUGGCGGAGUUCCAAAUGUUGUUUUACAAGUAACUGAAGUAAACACAGCACUGAAUUUUAGGUUAAUCUUCUGGAGAGUUACCAACUAACUGAAAGAAGUUCUGAAUUGUUUUUAUUCUCCUUCUCUCUUACUAUUUUUCUUUUGUUUAAACAGUCUUUCAGCUCUUCUCCUACCAUGUUUAUUAACUGCAUUGUAACAGUGUUCCUUUUGUUUCUUUAGAGAUUAAGCUGUUGUUUCGAGGUUUCCUUGCGCUAGCACAUUAGGACUUGUUUUGCCAUGCUAGAAUCAAGUGAGAACUGACACAGAAAGGGAAGCUUACGAGGUGAAAGAUGUAGCAAAAGAGUUUUUAAAUGUGGAUUGUUUCAUACGGACUAAUUAUGCAUGAAAAAGAAGUCAGUUAAUGAUUCACAGCCCUUCCAACAAAUUCAAUGAAGAUAACGAUAAAGCAAGUUUCCCCAACAUCCAAAUUUCCUAAACUAGUCCUCCAUGGAACAAUGUACAAGGAACAAAAACAGUAUUUGUGUUUUUUAGCAUAAGUGUUUUUUAUAAAGUUAAAAGUCGCUCAUUUCUUUCUUUAAAAAUGCAGGCAGAGAUGGAUACACCACAGAAUUUAUUCUGUCCCUCCCCACACCUCAAAACAGAUUAUUAAAUUAUGUUGUUAAGAGUUCCCCCCCCAUCCCCAGCUGGCUGUCCUAACCUCAAAUAGUACUACUGACCAUAGACAACAGAGGGAGCAGUAGAUGCAAUCUACAUACAGAAUCCAGUUUGAUAAGUGUUUAAGUGACCCCCACUACCCAUAUUAAGUGGGCAAGCAAAGUGCUUCCAAGUUGAUUAUCAUCUUAAAUUUAACAUGGCUGUUUGACUGAACAAGAGCAUUCACUGGUAACUGAAGAACGUUAUUUCAGAAGGCAGCAGGUACACUGAUCAUGCCACUUGCUAGAAAACUGGCUAAUAAAAUCAGCCUGUGGUCAUUUCUUUUCAGAUUCUGCAUCUGGUUCUGAAUUAAACAGGGAUCAGCUUCUACACUUAUUUAUAAGAUUGAAUUCAUAUCUUCAACAAUUUUAGUCCUUUAAAAACCUGUAAAAGGGUAUAUAAUCCAACUUCCAAAACUCUACAGCUGAAAUAUAAUUUCUAUUAGCAUAUAAAAAGUGAAAGGAGAAAGUGUUGUACAAAUUCAUGUCACUGGUGAGAUAACCUUCAGUAGAACCAUUAAACACAUUCACUUAUCUAAAAUUGCUCUCAUUUUAGUACAUACAUGCCAGGGUUGAACCUCAGUUCCUCAACAGUACAUCAGUUUGUACAAAAACUCCAAAAAGCAUUAUGCAAAAGCCAAUCUAUUUCCACUUUAAGUCACAUACGAGUGCUAUAUGAUCCGAAGGAUGUGAAACACUUGGCAAAGCCUGAUGGGUCGUUACUUCUUCAUGACUUGGCAAUGGAAUGACCUGUUCAACUUCCAGGGCAUUUUGGUCAAUGAAAACAUAGUCCAGACAUCCAUAAAACCCACCAACAUAGUUUGUGUACGCAGGUUCUCCACAAGCACUCUGCAGUUUGAAAGGAUGGCUUAGAGGCAUAUUGCACCUUUCCUCUUCUCCAUUAGAGGCCCAAUCUUCGUGAUCUUCAGCAAUGCCACCGGUGUUAAUAAAACCGUAAGUUCCAGAUGAUGGUGUACUAUUAAAGUCUCCACAGAAUAUGAGUGGUAUAUUAGGAUACAAGUCACAUGCUACAUACUUGAUGUGAGACAAAGCUACAGCAAUUUGGAUGAGACGGAUGUUCCCACCUUUUGGAUGCCAGUAGAGAUGGGUGUUAGCUACACAAAGCUUCUUGGAAGGAUCAGUUUCAGACUGAAGAACUGAAACCUGCAGCACAGACGAUCUCUGCAGCACCUUAUCCCGCACGGCGGGGUACCGGCCCAGCCUGUCGCGCAGCUCCGCGUGCAGCGGCUCCGACAGCAGCGCCUCGCUGAACGUGAUGUCGUGCCGGCUCAGGAGGCUGAACUUGUCCCUGCGGUAGAACGUGGCCAGGCCCUCGUGCUGCUUCUCCUUGAUCUUGAACAGCCCCUCGAGCCCGAACGCAUCCAGAGCCGGGGCCAGGCUGUCUGCGAACACGGAUUUGUCCACCUCCUGCAGGCAGAUGAGGUCGGCGUUGUAGCCGGCCAGUUCCUUCUUCAGCAGGUUCUGCCGGUAGUCGACCUCCAGCGCGUACGGGGCGCAGUACGGGUACAGCACGGUGCGGGAGAACUCGGUCUGGGCGUAGGCGUCGGCCAGGAUGUUGUAGGAGACGGCGCGCACGGAGCCGCGGCCGCACACCUUCCGCGUGUAGAGGUGCCGCGCAUCGAAGGUGCAGACGCCCGGCCCGGCCUCCACGGGGCCGCUGCUCUCCACCUCACGGGGCGCCCCG